rnacentral:rRNA from 1 species
CCUACGUGUGGCAGCAGUGAGGAAUAUUGGUCAAUGGGCGCGAGCCUGAACCAGCCAAGUAGCGUGAAGGAUGACUGCCCUACGGGUUGUAAACUUCUUUUAUAAAGGAAUAAAGUGAGGCACGUGUGCCUUUUUGUAUGUACUUUAUGAAUAAGGAUCGGCCAACUCCGUGCCAGCAGCCGCGGUAAUACGGAGGAUCCGAGCGUUAUCCGGAUUUAUUGGGUUUAAAGGGAGCGUAGAUGGGUUGUUAAGUCAGUUGUGAAAGUUUGCGGCUCAACCGUAAGAUUGCAAUUGAGACUGGCAGUCUUGAGUACAGUUGAGGUAGGCGGAAUUCGUGGUGUAGCGGUGAAAUGCUUAGAUAUCACGAAGAACUCCGAUUGCGAAGGCAGCUUACUAGACUGCCACUGACAUUGAUGCUCGAAAGUGUGGGUAUCAAACAGGAUUAGGUACCCCAGUAGUC